rnacentral:rRNA from 1 species
CAGUCGCCGCGGUAAUACAGAGGGUGCAAACGUUGUUCGGAAUUACUGGGCGUAAAGCGUGUGUAGGCGGCUUGGCAGGUCGGACGUGAAAGCCUUCGGCUCAACCGGAGAAGUGCGUUCGAAACCGCCAAGCUUGAGUGUCGGAGAGGAAGGCGGAAUUGUCGGUGUAGAGGUGAAAUUCGUAGAUAUUGGGAAGAACACCAGCGGCGAAAGCGGCUCACUGGACCAUUUCUGACGCUGAUGCUCGAAAGCGUGGGGAGCAAACAGGAUUAGAUACCCCCGUAGUCCCUGUCUCUUAUAC